GCAGCUGAGCGGUAAGGCCCCUUCGGGGGUACACGAGCAGCGAACGGGUGAGUAACGCGUGGGUAACCUACCCAGAAGUGGGGGAUAGCCCCGGGAAACCGGGGGUAAUACCGCAUGAGUCCCAGACGACACAAGUCGAUUGGGGGAAAGACGGGGAUCUUCGGACCUGUCGCUUCUGGAUGGGCCCGCGUCCGAUUAGCUUGUUGGUGAGGUAAUGGCUCACCAAGGCAUCGAUCGGUAGCCGGCCUGAGAGGGUGAACGGCCACAUUGGGACUGAGACACGGCCCAGACUCCUACGGGAGGCAGCAGUAGGGAAUUUUGGGCAAUGGGCGCAAGCCUGACCCAGCGACGCCGCGUGGAGGAUGAAGGCCUUCGGGUUGUAAACUCCUGUCAGGUGGGAAGAAAUGCCCGUCGGUAAAUAGCCGACGGGAGUUGACGGUACCACCAAAGGAAGCCCCGGCUAACUCCGUGCCAGCAGCCGCGGUAAUACGGAGGGGGCAAGCGUUAUUCGGAUUUACUGGGCGUAAAGCGCACGUAGGCGGCCAGGCAUGUCGACGGUGAAAGCCCUCGGCUCAACCGAGGAAUUGCCUUCNAAACUGCCUGGCUUGAGUCCGGGAGGGGGGAGCGGAAUUCCCAGUGUA
rnacentral:rRNA from 1 species